rnacentral:rRNA from 1 species
GAUGAACGCUGGCGGCGUGCCUAAUACAUGCAAGUCGAGCGAACAGACGAGGAGCUUGCUCCUCUGACGUUAGCGGCGGACGGGUGAGUAACACGUGGAUAACCUACCUAUAAUACUGGGAUAACUUCGGGAAACCGGAGCUAAUACCGGAUAAUAUAUUGAACCGCAUGGUUCAAUAGUGAAAGACGGUUUUGCUGUCACUUAUAGAUGGAUCCGCGCCGCAUUAGCUAGUUGGUAAGGUAACGGCUUACCAAGGCAACGAUGCGUAGCCGACCUGAGAGGGUGAUCGGCCACACUGGAACUGAGACACGGUCCAGACUCCUACGAGAGGCAGCAGUAGGGAAUCUUCCGCAAUGGGCGAAAGCUUGACGGAGCAACGCCGCGUGAGUGAUGAAGGUCUUCGGAUCGUAAAACUCUGUUAUUAGGGAAGAACAAAUGUGUAAGUAACUAUGCACGUCUUGACGGUACCUAAUCAGAAAGCCACGGCUAACUACGUG